rnacentral:rRNA from 1 species
GAUACCUGGCAGGGGUUGCGUGUGUGGUGUUGUGGGGCGUUGUUGGAGGAGGCUGCCGGCUCCUCGCUUGUUAUAUGUGUGUGUUAGCGGAAGUGGUUUUGGAAUGGCCUGCCGUAGUGGGUGAGAGUCCCGUACGUGAAAACAUGUGCAUGCGAGUGGAUGAUGUUUCCCGAGUAGCAGCGGGCUCGUGGAAUCUGCUGUGAAUCUGCCGGGACCACCCGGUAAGCCUAAAUACUUUAUGAUGACCGAUAGCGGAUUUAGUACCGUGAGGGAAUGGUGAAAAGUACCCCGGGAGGGGAGUGAAAUAGUACCUGAAACCGUGUGCUUUACAAUCCGUCAGAGCCUUUUUGUUAGGUGAUGGCGUGCCUUUUGAAGAAUGAGCCUGCGAGUCAGCGGCAUGUCGCGAGGUUUAACCCGUGUGGGGUAGUCGUAGCGAAAGCGAAUCCUAAUGAGGGUGUUUUUUUAAGUGGCAUGUCCUGGACCCGAAGCGGGGUGAUCUACCCAUGGCCAGUGUGAAGCAGCUGUAAGAGGUUGUGGAGGCGCGAACCCACUUAGGUU